UACGGGGGGAGCAAGCGUUGUUCGGAUUUACUGGGCGUAAAGGGCGCGUAGGCGGCCUCCGCAAGUCAGUUGUGAAAUCUCCGAGCUUAACUCGGAAAGGUCAACUGAUACUGCGGGGCUAGAGUGCGGAAGGGGCAACUGGAAUUCUUGGUGUAGCGGUGAAAUGCGUAGAUAUCAAGAGGAACACCUGCGGCGAAGGCGGGUUGCUGGCCGACACUGACGCUGAGGCGCGAAAGCUAGGGGAGCGAACGGG
rnacentral:rRNA from 1 species